GCAAAAUAUUUCUUCUUUCUAAAUAAUGAAAACAUGCUCUGCAAAAUUGAUUACAACAUGGGUAUAUAGAAGUGUGCAUAGAACUAUAAUUUCAAUAUACAAAGUAGCAGUAUUGUGCUAAUUUGCAAAUCAUACAGAUCCUUAAGUGCUAACUACUGAGGUUCAGAUCAUCAUUGCUGGACUUGAUUCGUCGUACAUUCAACGGUACAGGUUUCUCCAAGACUGUCACGUUAACUCCGGUCCAGAUAUCUGAUUUCGUGGGGAGCUGAGCUAUUUUCUCUACGAUUUCCAUGUCCUCCGGCAGCACAUAGCCAAAAACAGUGUACGCGUUUUUCCACUCUUGAUGGUUUGCUAAGCUUAUAAAGAAUUCAGGGCCAGAACCAACCCAUGCAACUGAACCCCGUCUUAUUUCAGGACAGAAUUCACUGGGAACUGUCUCAACUGGUAUUCCUUGAGCACCAAGAGUUCCUUGUAACAAACCAUAUGGAGGGCCAAAAGAAGCAUCUUUUAUGUGAUCUCCACGUGCAUCCCAAACUUGUCCGCGAGUUUCUGCACGAAAAAAUUGGCAACCAGCACAGUGUCGAAACCUCAACAACUCCAGAAUAUUAAAAACAGAGCGUGGGGAACAUUCUGGCAAAAGCUUAACGUGAAUAGCACCAAAUUCUGUUUCCAAGGCAACAAUUCCCUCUCCUUUCCCAAAAACUAUGCCAGACGUCCAAAUACUAUUGUCUCCAUCAUCCUUUUUGUCAGGAGCCAAAGUAUCUUUCUGCUUCUUCAACCAGCACUCACCAAAUUUGUCACCACAAGCUUUUUCAUCUCCACAAAAAACCCAUGUAUCACAAAGACAAGGCCCAUGAUUACCAGUACACAUAUCUUUACAAGCUUCACAACAUUCCUUAGAAUUUUUAACCUUAAAAUCAGAACCCCACUUCACAGCAGCUCCCCAAAGCUCAAAACUUUCGAUCCCAUUACAACAUCCACCACCUUCCACUCCACCAACACCACCACCACUGCCAAAUUCACCGUCAUCCGCCGCCAACCUCUCAACAGCCGAAUUUCCGGUGGGUUUCAUCACCGCCGACAUGAAAAUGUACACGACAGUACACGAAAAAAGACCCAUCAAGAGAAGGAUCAUAGAAGCACAACGAGUGGGUUCGGAAUCAUUUGGCUUCCGACCCAUUUGAGAUUGAUGAGUGAAGAUGAAAACCCAGAAACGGAUUUGGCUGAUUCAAUUUGGUUUCUGAGAUUUUUGUAUGAUUUGGUUUAGUGGUAUCGUU
rnacentral:misc_RNA from 1 species